GCUCUUUCAAGAACUGUAGGAAUGUGAUCUUCAGGACUUUUGAUUUUCUCCACUUGCACCUCAAGAUAUCAAAGAAAAAUACAUUAAAAAUAAUCUCAAAUCUCAUUUGAAGUUAAGUUAUAAACAAAGCAUGAACACCAUAAACUUUCAAACUUUUGUACCCCAAGAAAGACUCAAGAUUAAACUUACUACUCCUUUUAACACAAUUUCCGUCUCUGUGUCACCUGAUGGAUAAACAACUCCUGGGCAAUCAAUCAAGAAAAUGCGCCGCAUCAAAGUAAUGUACUGCCACACCUAAAAAGUUGAAGAAAAUAACUU